GAUGAACGCUGGCGGCGUGCCUAAUACAUGCAAGUCGAGCGAACAGACGAGGAGCUUGCUCCUCUGACGUUAGCGGCGGACGGGUGAGUAACACGUGGAUAACCUACCUAUAAGACUGGGAUAACUUCGGGAAACCGGAGCUAAUACCGGAUAAUAUAUUGAACCGCAUGGUUCAAUAGUGAAAGACGGUUUUGCUGUCACUUAUAGAUGGAUCCGCGCCGCAUUAGCUAGUUGGUAAGGUAACGGCUUACCAAGGCAACGAUGCGUAGCCGACCUGAGAGGAGGGACCGGCAAAAUGGGAACUGGAACACGGUCCGACCCCCUACGGAGGGAAGAAGUGGGAAAGUUGGAGAAAUGGGGAAAGACUUAACGGGGAAAGGCGCGGGGGGGAAUAAGGGCUUCGGGAUGGAAAAACCUUGUUAUUGGGAAAAAAAAAAUGGAUAAGAAACGAUGCGCGUCUGAAGGGUCCCGAAUAAGAAAGCCGGGCCAAACAAGGG
rnacentral:rRNA from 1 species